GUCGAUACCAGAGCGCGAUACCUGCCAGAUAUCAUGUGUUUCCUACUAGGCAUCAGGAGCCGGUCACCGAGACGUUGUCACUGCUAGCCUUGUCCUCCACAUCGAGCCCGUCCUCCACUGUCUAAGCCCCAUGCUGGGGCUCGAUGCCGGCGACCGCGUCCUCUGUUGUCACGCCCCACGCCAGGGCUGGUCGCCGGUGGCUGCGUCUUCCCACGCCCCACGCCGAGGCUCGUUAGUCCCAUGCCGGAACUCAUCACCCGUGGUGCUGCAUAUCUUCUCCGGUGAUGUGCUCCCCGACGAAGCAGUGAGGCGAGGCAGCGGGGGCCUUCUCCAGUGAGCUCCCUUCUCUCCCUUCUUCCUCCGCUGCCGCAUGCCCGAUGCCAGUGCUGCUCCGUUGCCGCAUGCCUGCGCUGCUCCGUUGCCGCAUGCCUACGCUUGUGCUCUAGGGAAUGAGGGAGACGAUACCGUCGCGGGUGCUAGGCGCGGGAUACCAGUAUCUAGCUUUUCCAAAUUGCUAAUCUGAAAAUACUAUAGAACAGUCUCCCGUCCGAACAUGCAUGUGACUAAAUAAUCAUCUACUUAAACAUCUUAUCCAUGUCAGUAUACCACGUAUUUGGUCUUAUCCUAUCCCUGUAUUUCUUCUUCCCCUCCCCCCCUCUCUCCAUCUCCCUCCCUCCCUCUCUCCCCCCCUUCCCCCUCUCACCCUCAUGGCUCAUGGGCGGUGAGCACCAUGUGGUCAUCAGUCCGUGUGGUCAACAACGACUUGUGUGCUGUUGUGGAAAACCAACUCAACUCGAGGUGAAGAAAUCGCAGGGGCCAUUCUUGAGGCUUUUUUGAGACUGUAGCAGUCCUCUUGCUAAUUACGCGUGCGCAAGAGAGGGACGGGCGCCGGCGCUGCGCAGGAAAUUUUACAUAACGCCCAAAAAUGGAUGAGUGGCUGCCGACGCCAUAUAUCACACACAAGUUGUAUUUUUCUAAGCUUUUAUUAUAUCAAAAUAGUAAAGUUUUUGAACAUAUAUGAUCACGUAAAAGAGCAAUCGUCCAUCA